UGAGGAAUAUUGGUCAAUGGACGAGAGUCUGAACCAGCCAAGUAGCGUGCAGGAUGACGGCCCUAUGUGUUGUAAACUGCUUUUGUUUGGGAAUAAUCGACUUUACGUGUAUUGUUUUGCAUGUACCAUUCGAAUAAGGACCGGCUAAUUCCGUGCCAGCAGCCGCGGUAAUACGGAAGGUACAGGCGUUAUCCGGAUUUAUUGGGUUUAAAGGGAGUGUAGGAGGUUGGUUAGCGUGUUGUGAAAUGUAGAUGCUCAACAUCUGACUUGCAGCGCGAACUGGGUGAAUUGAGUACACAGAACGUAGGCGGAAUUCAUGGGGUAGCGGUGAAAUGCUUAGAUAUCAUGAAGAACUCCGAUGGCGAAGGAAGCUUACGGGAGAGAUAAAGACGCUUAAGCUCGAAGAAGCGGGUAUCGAACAGG
rnacentral:rRNA from 1 species